rnacentral:lncRNA from 1 species
UGGAUGUUUGGCAAGAUUACCCGUUGGCCUAAAUCAGCCUGCCGUUAAAUCAAGUACUGGAAGUUAGUAGAAAUAUAUUAUUUCAUAUCAGGCUUCUUGCCAUCUCAGGAGGAGUAAAUAUUCUGGGUCCUGUUUCUUC